CUGAAUGGAAGCUCCAUUUUAGUUGACAAAGCUCAGUAUGUGUAAAGUCUUCGAGGCUUAUCCAUCGGACGGCGUCUUUCUUAUCUAAGGAUUCACUCAGAUUAUACUUCCAUUUCGUUGUAACCCAGAAACAAUUACCUCCAUGAUCAAGUGAAUUUCUGUCUCUUACUUGGCCUCGCUUGAAGCUCCAAAUGGAGAUUAGAUUGUGGUUAUUCUCUGUGUUCCUGUUUAUGGGUACUGCAAUUUCAUGGGUGGAAUCCAAGUACAUGGUUUAUAAUACUUCACAAGGCAUAGUUCCUGAUAAGCUCAAUGUUCACUUGGCUGCUCACACCCACGAUGAUGUUGGGUGGCUGAAGACUGUUGAUCAGUAUUAUGUUGGCUCCAACAAUUCAAUCCAAGGUGCUUGUGUGAGAAAUGUAUUGGAUUCUCUUAUUCCUGCACUGUUGGCUGACAAGAAUCGCAAAUUUAUUUAUGUUGAGAUGGCAUUUUUCCAACGGUGGUGGAGAGAUCAGAGUGAGGCUAUGCAGCAAAUUGUCAAGCAACUUGUGAGCUCGGGUCAGCUGGAAUUCAUAAAUGGGGGUAUUUGCAUGCACGAUGAGGCAGUGACUCAUUAUAUUGACAUGAUUGAUCAGACAACUCUUGGGCAUCAAUUUAUCAAAAAGGAAUUUGGUGUGACUCCAAGAAUUGGUUGGCAGAUAGACCCAUUUGGCCAUUCUGCAGUGCAGGCUUACUUGUUGGGAACUGAAGUUGGAUUUGAUUCUCUUUUCUUUGGCCGGAUAGAUUACCAAGACAGGGCUAAGCGUAAAAGUGAGAAGAGUCUUGAAGUUGUCUGGCAGGGUUCUGACAGUCUUGGUUCAUCUGCACAGGUGAACAGUAUUGAUUUUCUUAGCUUAAGCAGCCAUGCUAGGGGAAUUAUUAUCCUUGCUAAGUUUGAAUUUUUGUAUUACAUUGUGGAAUAUUUUUGUCUUCUGUUUCUUUAUUGUGGUUGUAUUGUUGUGGAGACAAAUCUUUCAUGUCACUCUUAGCUUCUUCAUCGCUGUAGAUUUUUGCCGGUGCAUUCCCAGAAAACUAUGAGCCUCCUCCUGGUGGUUUCUACUUUGAAGUCAAUGAUCCAUCCCCUAUUGUUCAAGAUGACAUGAAUUUGUUUGAUUACAAUGUCCCAGACCGGGUCAAUGACUUUGUUGCUGCUGCAAUUUCACAGGCUAAUAUAACUCGAACAAAUCAUAUCAUGUGGACCAUGGGAACAGAUUUUAAGUAUCAGUAUGCAGAGACUUGGUUUCGAGAGAUGGACAAACUGAUCCAUUAUGUUAACAUGGAUGGACGGGUCAAUGCUCUCUAUUCUACCCCAUCCAUAUAUACUGAUGCAAAACAUGCUACAAAUGAAUCCUGGCCAGCAAAGACUGGUGACUUCUUCCCGUAUGCAGAUCGUGCAAAUGCUUACUGGACAGGAUACUUUACAAGUAGACCAGCCUUGAAACGCUAUGUUAGGAUGAUGAGUGGCUAUUACUUGGCUGCAAGGCAACUAGAGUUUUUAAGUGGGAGAAGUAAUACAGGGCCAAACACAGACUCAUUGGCAGAUGCUUUGGCAAUUGCUCAGCAUCAUGAUGCAGUUACUGGUACAGAAAAGCAGCAUGUGGCUAAUGAUUAUGCAAAGCGACUGUCAAUAGGCUACACAGAGGCCGAAAAAUUAGUUGCCUCUUCACUUGCUUGCUUGGCUGAGUCAACAUCACAUAAUGGAUGUCAGAGUCCAGCUAUAAAAUUUCAACAGGCGAAAAUUAUAAAUCUCUGAGCUUGAAUAGUCUACAUUUCCAUUGUUUUCUAAGAAGAAUGAAUAAUUCUGAACCCCUUUUCAUCAUAAGCUUCUUUCUUAAAAAUAUAUGGUACAUUGGACACAUUUUAUGUAAUAUUUAUUUUGGUAUCUACAAUAUUGAACUCUUUUAUGUGGUUACGGUGAUGAUAAAUGAAAUAAAUCAAUCACUGAUUUGAAAUUUUUGAACUGUGGACAUUAUAACCUUCUUCACCAUAGCUUUUUAAAGUCACAUUUGCCAUGGAGAGGGUUUCUAAUAAUUUAAAUAUUGAACUUAGCAUUGUGCACUAAUUGCAUGGCAAUUGGCCAUUUUAUUUUUCUUUGACAUUGAAAUUCAAGCUAAACUGGAUUUUCACAUGUGGAUUUUCGUUCUUUCUUUCCUUCUCUCUCUUCCCCCUCCUCUUCCUCCAGUGCCCACUGCUGAAUAUAAGUUACUGUCCU
rnacentral:misc_RNA from 1 species